rnacentral:rRNA from 1 species
CGUAGGGUGCAAGCGUUAAAUCGGAAUUACUGGGCGUAAAAGCGUGCGCAGGCGGUUAUGUAAAGACAGUUGUGAAAAUCCCCCGGGGCUCAAACCUGGGAAUUGCAUCUGUGACUGCAUAGCUAGAGUACGGUAGAGGGGGGAUGGAAUUCCGCGUGUAGCAGUGAAAAUGCGUAGAUAUGCGGAGGAACACCGAUGGCGAAGGCAAUCCCCUGGACCUGUACUGACGCUCAUGCACGAAAGCGUGGGGAGCAAACAGGAUU